GAUGAAGAACGUAGCGAAAUGCGAUAAGUAAUGUGAAUUGCAGAAUUCAGUGAAUCAUCGAAUCUUUGAACGCACCUUGCGCCCUUUGGACAUUCCGAAGGGCAUGCCUGUUUGAGUAUCAUGAACACCUCAACUCUCACGGCUUGUCCGUGAUGAGCUUGGACUUUGGGGGUCUUGCCGGCCUGUGGUCGGCUCCUCUCAAAUGGAUCAGCUUGCCAGUGUUUGGUGGCAUCACAGGUGUGAUCACUAUCUGCGCUUGUGGUUUUCCAUCAGAUAACCUUCAGUGAUAUGGAGGUUCGCUGGAGCUCACAAAUGUCUCUCCUUAGUGAGGACAGCUCUUUGAACGUUUGAUCUCAAAUCAGGUAGGACUACCCGCUGAACUUAAGCAUAUCAAUAAGCGGAGGA
rnacentral:misc_RNA from 1 species